rnacentral:rRNA from 1 species
UUGUGCCAGCAGCCGCGGUAAUACGAAGGGGGCUAGCGUUGCUCGGAAUCACUGGGCGUAAAGGGCGCGUAGGCGGCGUUUUAAGUCGGGGGUGAAAGCCUGUGGCUCAACCACAGAAUGGCCUUCGAUACUGGGACGCUUGAGUAUGGUAGAGGUUGGUGGAACUGCGAGUGUAGAGGUGAAAUUCGUAGAUAUUCGCAAGAACACCGGUGGCGAAGGCGGCCAACUGGACCAUUACUGACGCUGAGGCGCGAAAGCGUGGGGAGCAAACAGGAUU